GGCGUUUCCCGUCCCUAGACGGCAGGGUCCGGGUGGCUCCGGCACACCGGGGCCGGGCCCGUCCCGCUGGGGCGACCGCGGGGGUCGCCCCCGAAGCGCGCCCAUGCCGGCUCCCCCAGCUGCCGCCACGUCUCGGCUCCAAGUGGCAGCCCGGUUGUUUUGUUUAAUUAAACUCAAUGUCAGUGUUCAUUUUCCGCCUGGCCGGGCAGCCCUGCCUUCGCCGGAGCCGCCGUGUUGGUUACAGAUGUCAGGACGCCCCGUCGGGGCUGCGCCGAGCCCGCGGAGCCGCGUGGCGCCGGCCACGCGUGUCCGCGGCGGCGGGCUGGGCGCUGGGAGGAGCAGGGAAGGGGCUUCCCUGGCAAAGCUGUCCCCCCCCCCCUUCACCCGCAACUCGGUCCCGCGUGGGCGAGCAGCGUGGCGUUUCACCAGCUUUGUGACAGGGGCGCCCCCUCGGCCCCCUACGGAGCGCCCCCGUCCCCUGGCUGCGCAGGGACAGCAGGGCAGGGGGUGCUGCGGGCGGGCCGGGGGGGUCAGAGGCACUGUGCGGCUCUGGAGGGGGGCACAGGGGAAGGACAAGGAGCUGGAGAAAUGCUGAAGAGCCCCAGCCUACUGAGUCCCUGCUCUGACCACAGCUACCGCGCGUCUCCAGCCGCCGGCCUCCCCGUCCUUCCCCGCAGCCUCCCCGGCUCCUCUCCUGCCAUCGCCACGCUCUGCUCUGCUCUUUCCCAGGUCAUUUUGCCUCUUUGCCCCCCUGCCAGCUGGCGAUGCGAGCUGUUCAAAGCCACGUCCACAGCCCGGAGCUCUCCCGCAGCCGCCUCGUUGUUGCGUGGGCAGCGGAUUUGCGUUCUCCGUGCACGCUCACCACCGAAUCCCCUUCUCAUUUUAAGGCUUUUAUCAGCGCAGAGCCCCUUCUAUCCCCCUCCGCACAGUGCUAGGGCUGUACCAGCGCUGGAUGUUGGCACUUGGCAGCUUCCUCCCUUUCCCCAGCCACUUCCGAGCCUCCCGAGCACCGCGCUCCUGCGCCGCGGAGGCUCCCGCGGUGACCCCUCCGCUGCGGGAGCCCCAGGUUUUGUUACGCCACUUUGUCUCCUAACUUUUAACCGGUUAUUCAUUCCCGAGCUGCUUUUCAAACUUCCCUUCUCAGCAACGGGACCGGCCUUAUUUACCAAACAAUCAGGUUUAUUGCUGUUUCUACUCAUUCUUUGUUACAAUUUCUAUCUGUUUUCCCCAUUAAACUCGGGACGUUGUGAUUUUCCGGACCCCCCGUCGAGCCCUUUUUCGGAAGUUGGCUAUCCUCCAUUCCUAUUUACAAAGACCGAUUCACACAGGAGGCUACGCUCCAGCUACUGAAAUAGCCAUUUCAUAUUUAAGUCCUUCCAAAACUCCUGUGGAAAUCUCAUCUUUUGUCGCUAUUUAUUUCUGUGGGAGCAGCUUCUGCGACCUUUUCCACCACUACCUGGCCUGCGAGCGCACCCAGCUCCCGUAAGAAAGCCUCCUGUGGGGGAAUUUCUUUAAGGUCUUGGGAGCAAUUGCCAGGGCAGGGGAU
rnacentral:lncRNA from 1 species